rnacentral:tRNA from 1 species
UCGAAAUCGGUAGACGCUACGGACUUAAAAUCCGNUUGGCUUUAAUAGACCUUGAGGGUUCAAGUCCCUCUACCCCCA